UGGGGAGAGGUCAAUAAUGCUGAUAAAAAUCCUCCAAUGCACAGCAAAUUUCCUCAGGACAAAGAUUUAUCUGGUCCAAAAUAUCAAUAGUGGCACCUGUUGAGAAAUUCGGGCCCAGAGAAAAAUAAAGUGUUCUCUAGGCCAAUAUGAAUUGGCCAUAGUUACUGUAAUUUCCAUGUUUCCUACUUGAAAAAUGAAAGCCUUCCAUCAUAGCAGUGUAACCCUGCAACAUGAGUGAAAUUCACUUUUCUUAUACUCAAAAUCUCCACUUCCACUCUAAUUCUCAACUCCUGGGGAGAGCUUUCCUUCUAAGUGCAGAAACUAUGACUAAUUAUUACAGACAAGCAUUGAAUCUUUAUUGACUAACUAACAUUUUUGCACUGGCAUUUUGAAUUAUGUGGUACAUUGCCUUGUGUGAAUGUUUAGCUUUGUUAAUCACUUUCUUUUACUGAAAAGGAAGUUAUUACAUUAUGAAAUUACUGCUCCUUAUAAAAAAGUAGUCAUUUCACUAUCUAUAUAAUUACUAUUCCUAAUAAGACUUUGAAAUGGCUAAUUUACAAAAUUGCACAUGGUAACAUUUUCAGAUCUCAGUUUAGAAAGCCCCUGUCCAUAUUGUGUUACCGAUUUCAUUGCUUUUAGCUUGGCAAGGGCUCAUGAAACUAUUUUAAUUUUCCACCAGUGGCUUCUGGUUAUUUCUGCUCUUAUUUCCUUGUAACAAAACUGACAGCCCAAUUAAACAUCUGCAUUUUUUAAUCUGAAUUUCCCCCAUAACUAUUUUGCUUUUCUUCUAAAACUUCCAGAUGUUUUGGUUCCUUUAUAAUUUUAAUGCAUGCGAGUAUAUUUCUUCCCAUUUCAAAGAGAGAGAGAAAGAGAGAGCUAACAUGUUAUCUCCUAUGUGCAAUUCAUGACUUCACUAUAACUAUCUGGAAACAUUGCAUUACUAGCAAAUAUAUGGCCAAAGAAGGACACAAAUAACUUUUAAUUGUUACAAGGCUUGCAUCAUGUGUGAAUCUCAGGCAGAGCAAAAAAAUGUAAAUUCGUGGAUUAAUUUUAAGAAUUAAAUGGGAAAAUGUUUAUCGACAUUUUAGCACAAGCCUGCUUACAAUAAACAUUUAGGAACAUUACAUUUUUGCCACGAUUUUUUUCUCUUGUCUGCAUUUGCCUGAUUUUGGAGUGCUAUUCACAGUCGCAGGAAAGCAGUUCUGACACAGUGAUCUUGGAAAGUGGGGUUGAAGAUGGCAGAGUCACAAAUGGAAAAUGACUGGACUCCUGGGUUGUGAUUU
rnacentral:lncRNA from 1 species